CCCUGGGUCCCACCGCUGCCGGCCCAGCGCUUUGGGGAGUGACUUCCGGCCAUGCGGGGCCUCUACCGCUGCCAUCGCGGUCCCGGUCUCCUGAAGUGGAACCCGGCUUGGAGUCGAGCGCGACCCCUCGCCCGUGGGCGCAGGCGAUCGAGUAAGGGUGGGGCGGGCCUCAAACCCGGAUCAGAACCCGCCCUGACCGGCGCAGAGAUACGGGACGCAGCCGUGAGCACUGUUUUUUAUUUCACCAUGGACCCAUCGGCGUGGGGCGCCCGCCCCGGGUGUCCUUCCUCCCCCGGGCAGCCAGAUGCUGGAACGGGAGGCACAUGUUCCGGCCCCGGCCCCUGGGAAGGAAAGAAAGGACCUUCCCGUUUCACUUGUCUCGGCUGAACAUGUAGCGGAGGAGGUCGACCACCCGGUGACUGUAGCCAUAUUCGUUGUCGUACCUGUGGAGGAGGGGUCGGGAGGUUCAAGGGGGUUCCUUCCGACCACCCCUUAGUUCCCCUCCCUCUAAGUCUCCAGCUCCUUCCCCCUUACCAUGAAAUGAGCUUCACGAAAUUGUCAUUGAGCGCAAUGCCGGCCUUAGCAUCGAAGAUGGACGAGUGGGUAUCACCGAGGAAGUCCGUAGAGACGACCUGGAAGUCAGAAUUUCAAAGAUAAGUGUGUCCGGCAGAGCAAGGACCUCCAGGAGCUGAGGCCCCGACUCUUAACUCUAUCGCCCAUCCAUGCAUUCAUCUAUAAUAUUUGAUGUAGCCCUACUGUGUCCAGUCUCUGGACUGGAGGGUAUGACCAAGUGCAGGGUAUGACCAAGGCACUGUGUCAGGGUCUGGCCAAAGGGCACAGGUCACAAACACCCUCAUGCUGUACCAGUACAUCCCUUUCCUAGGAAUAAUGCAAGCGUUUGGAAUGGGCCAGCAUGGAGGGCCUCUCUGAGGGGUGGCCAUGAGCCUGGGUCUAGAUGACUAGAAAGAUCUGACCGGCUGGGGCCCUCAGCACAGUGUCUGAGGUAGAAGGAGCUGCAGGAAGGGAGGACCUGAGGGUUUUAGCCCUAGUGUCAUGAAAGGCCACAGGAGUGUUUUCAAUCCUGAAAACGGGUGAUGCAAUGUGAUUCCAUUAAAACAAAAGAUCCCAGUGACUGUGGGAAAGUGGACCUGCAGGAGUUAAUGCAGGGAGACAGCACCAAGGUGGAUGUACAGGGGUCCACCAUGACCAUGGCAUCCACUCCUCACAGAGAAGGCAUCUGGCCAUGGCCUGGCCCUGAGCAAGUAUUGAAAAAAAUGGGAGCUGUUGUCUUUUGUUCACUAAGCAUGUAUUAGUCACCUGCUGUAUGCCAGGUUGGAGCCACAAAAGUGAAAAGGCAGCCCCUAAAUCCCUGUUUUCUUGGAGUGCACACACCACUGGGGCCAACAGUGACUAUGAAAUGAAAUUUCAGGUGAGGAAUAUGGCCACAAAAAGAACAUAUUUUGAGGGGGUGCCUUGCUGAAGAGGGAGGUUCCUCCAGAGACUUGGAGGAAGUAAGGACAGACUGUAUGGUCACCUGGCAAGGGAAGCAUUCCAGACUAAAGGAACAGCAAGUGCAAAGGCCCUGAGGCAGGGAGAUCUCCCUUCCUGCCCUGCAGUUUCUGACUUGGCACAUUGAGAGCAGCUCCCUGGCAAGUGGAAAUCAUGUCCCUUCCCAGAGGGCUCCUCCCAGGGUCUCCUCUCCUCAGCCCCUACCUCAUCCUCGGUGUAGGCAAGGAUGCCAGCCAUGGGCCCCUUGGCUGCUGCUUUUACAGCCUCCUUGAUGGCUGAGUAGGGGGCAGGCUGGGCGAGGCGGCAGGUCAGGUCCACGACAGACACAUCCGGGGUUGGUACCCGGAACGCCAUCCCUGUCAGCUUCCUGGAGAAUCCCCCAUGAGGAACAGGAGUCAGAACUUAGGGACGUUGCCCUCCAUUCCCCCUUUCCCUGUGGCUGGGCCAGGCCCCUGCUUUCCUCUUAAGGACUGAGGGCCGGGCCAGUCCAGUCCUCCUGGCGUAUGCCCCCACCCUGGUUGCAGCUUCUUGUCCUCAUACCCUUUGAGCUCUGGGAUGACUUUGGUCACAGCUUUCGCAGCCCCAGUGGAGGCUGGGAUGAUGUUCUGGUGGGCACCCCGCCCAUCUCGCCAGGCCUUCCUUGAUGGCCCGUCCACUGUCUUCUGGGUGGCCGUGUAGGAAUGGACUGUGGUCUUGGGGAAGAGAAGGACCAAGAUGAGGCCUUCAUGCUCCUAAGCUCCCAUGCCUCUUUUUUCCAGGACUAAGUUGGUGGCCUAGGUGUGGAGGCUGGUGGGGCCACCACCACAGACCACAGGAGGGGAUGUGUGCAGGCCAGGGUCCAGCCUUGCCUGAGGGUUGCACAGUGUUUUAAGUGACUUCUGCACUGGUGGGCCUCUCCUCCCGAAACCAGUCUCUCCCUCUUAACUCCAUACAGUAAGCAAGGCCCGGGAAGAAGUUGGGUUUCCCUGCCAUCCUUCCUGCCCCAGCCCCUCAUCCUCAACUCACCAUCAACCCUUCCACGAUCCCAAAUCGCUCGUGGAUGACUUUGGCGAGGGGAGCCAAACAGUUGGUGGUGCAGGACGCGUUGCUGAAACAGCCAAGGUGUGCACGGACACUGUGAGUGACAGGCUGAGCAGGUACCGGCCCACCUGCAACCACCUGCGUCCCCUACCCCACACACCUACUUGUUCCAGAUGGGCUCCACCCCGCUGGCCUAGCUUUUCACCACUGCCCCACUUCAGACCACUUUCCCUUUGCUGAUUGCACCACCCCUGUUAUGCCUGGGUACAGGUGGUGACCUCCCCAACUCAGCCCUCAACCUCCUCAGAGGCGCCAAUGCUGACUGCUGUCAGCCAGCCCAGACCCUUUCUCCAUAUGCUGCCCGGGACGUGGACUCUGUGACUGUGAGGCCUGCCCGGCUGCUUUCUGCUUCCCAGCUCUGACAACCUCGCCAUGAACCCUCCUAGACCCUCAGCUCCUGCAAUAGGAAGCUGGCUGCCAAAGGCCAGGAGGGUCCCUGAAAACAGACACUGCAUUAAAGAAAAAGCUCCUGGAGGACUCCUGAAGCCUGAGGCAGCCUUGGGGCAGCAGUGGCUCAUGGUUUACAUUGGAAAGGUUUAUCAUGAGUAACCGGGUGCUUUGCUUCUGUGAUUCUUGGCCAGUGUCGGUCUGUUUCCUUUGCCAUUGAGCCUGCUCCCCUCAAUGGGGGGUUCAAUCAAUGUUUGUGGGGUUUGUUUGUUUUGAGACAGGGUCUUCCUCUGUCGCCCAGGCUGGAGUGCAGUGGUGCAAUCAGAGCUCACUGCAGCCUUGAUCUUCCUGGCUCCGGCCAUCCUCCUGCCUUGGCCUCCCGAGUAGCUGGGACUACAGGCGCACACCACCAUGCCAAGCUAAUUUUUAAAUUUUUUUGUAGAGAUGGGGUCUCACUUUUGUUGCCCAGGGUGCUUUAGAACCCCUGGGCUCAAGUGAUCCUUGACCUCCCACAGUGCUGGGAUUACAGGUGUGAGCCACCGUGCCUGGCCUCAUGGGUUUUCUUUGUUUUGUUUUGUUUUGUUUUUGAGACAGAGUCUCACUCUGUCACUCAGGCUGGAGUGCAGUGGCACGAUUUUGGCUCACUGCAACCUCCACCUUCCGGGUUCAAGCGAUUCUCCUGCCUCCGCCUCCCGAGUAGUUGGGGUUACAGGCAUGCGCUACCACACCUGGCUAGUUUUUUAUUGUUGUUGUUUUUUGUAUUUUUAGUGGUGACGGGGUUUGCUCUGUUGGCCAGGCUGGUCUCAAACUCCUGACCUCAGGUGAUCCCCACUUCAGCCUCCCAAAGUGCUGGGAUGACAGGCAUGAGCCUCUGCACCUGGCCUCGUGUUUUUUUUUUAGUUAGCCAUUUUAUACGUGUUUACUGAACACCUGUCCUGUGCCCAUAUUCUAAGUGCCUUACCUGCAUUAAACUCAUGUAACCUUCACAACCCGAUGAGGAAGUGCUACCGCUGUCAUUUUUUGCAUUUUUUUACUGCUGUCAGGGCAGAGGGGAGGGGAGUGAGAGGGAGAGCCUGCUGGAGUGCAGGUGGCUGGUCCCACCUCGGGUCUGCACUCCUGUUUCCACUGCCUGAAUGAAUGAAUGAAUGGGCUGCCCUGCAAAGCCAUCACACAUGCAUGGUUAUCCUCUUCCUGUCUCCUGCUCUGUCAGUCCACUUUCCAUCAUCUGGCCCAACGAGCUCUUCUCAGAUACCCCCCAUUUCCUGCCUUCCAAAUUAGGGACACUUGCGAUUCCUCUGCAACAAUUGCUGAGUUGGCCUGAGGCAAAGACUGUGCCCCCAGAAGACCCCAGGCCCUCCCCAAGGCUGUC
rnacentral:lncRNA from 10 species